CAAUAGCGUAUAUUAAAGUUGUUGCAGUUAAAAAGCUCGUAGUUGGAUUUCGGGACGGGCCAGUUGGUCCGCCGCAAGGUGUGUUACUGACUGGUCUGUUCUUCUUCGCAAAGACUGCGUGUGCUCUUCGUUGAGUGUGCGUAGGAUUUACGACGUUUACUUUGAAAAAAUUAGAGUGUUCAAAGCAGGCUAUCGCUUGAAUACAUGAGCAUGGAAUAAUGGAAUAGGACUUUGGUCCUAUUUUGUUGGUUUCUAGGACCGAAGUAAUGAUUAAGAGGGACAAUUGGGGGCAUCCGUAUUUCGUUGUCAGAGGUGAAAUUCUUGGAUCUACGAAAGACGAACAACUGCGAAAGCACUUGCCAAGAGUGUUUUCAUUAA
rnacentral:rRNA from 1 species